rnacentral:rRNA from 1 species
GGAUUAGAUACCCUGGUAGUCCACGCCGUAAACUAUGGAUACUAGGUGUUUGGGAAAUUAACCUCCUGAGUACUAAAGCUAACGCAUUAAGUAUCCCGCCUGGGGAGUACGGUCGCAAGGCUAAAACUCAAAGGAAUUGACGGGGGCCCGCACAAGCGGUGGAGUAUGUGGUUUAAUUCGAAGCAACGCGCAGAACCUUACCUACCCUUAACAUCCCGGGACAACCACAGAGAUGUGGCGUUCUCUUCGGAGACUCGGUGAUAGGUGCUGCAUGGCUGUCGUCAGCUCGUGCUG